rnacentral:rRNA from 1 species
UACGUGGGGUGCGAGCGUUGUUCGGAAUUACUGGGCGUAAAGCGCGUGUAGGCGGCCUAUUAUGUCAGGUGUGAAAGCCCUCGGCCUAACCGAGGAAGUGCGCCUGAAACUGCUAGGCUUGAGUACGAGAGAGGAGGACGGAAUUCCCAGUGUAGAGGUGAAAUUCGUAGAUAUUGGGAGGAACACCGGCGGCGAAAGCGGUUCUCUGGAUCGAUACUGACGCCAAGACGCGAAAGCGUGGGGAGCAAACAGG